rnacentral:rRNA from 1 species
UGGGGAAUAUUGGACAAUGGGCGAAAGCCUGAUCCAGCCAUGCCGCGUGUGUGAAGAAGGUCUUCGGAUUGUAAAGCACUUUAAGUUGGGAGGAAGGGCAGUAAGCGAAUACCUUGCUGUUUUGACGUUACCGACAGAAUAAGCACCGGCUAACUCUGUGCCAGCAGCCGCGGUAAUACAGAGGGUGCAAGCGUUAAUCGGAAUUACUGGGCGUAAAGCGCGCGUAGGUGGUUCGUUAAGUUGAAUGUGAAAGCCCCGGGCUCAACCUGGGAUCUGCAUCCAAAACUGGCGAGCUAGAGUAGGGCAGAGGGUGGUGGAAUUUCCUGUGUAGCGGUGAAAUGCGUAGAUAUAGGAAGGAACACAGUGGCGAAGGCGACCACCUGGGCUCAUACUGACACUGAGGUGCGAAAGCGUGGGGAGCAAACAGG